rnacentral:rRNA from 1 species
GACGAACGCUGGCGGCGUGCUUAACACAUGCAAGUCGAACGCUGAAGCUCAGCUUUUGUUGGGUGGAUGAGUGGCGAACGGGUGAGUAACACGUGAGUAACCUGCCUCCUUCUUUGGGAUAACGCCCGGAAACGGGUGCUAAUACUGGAUAUUCACUGGUCUUCGCAUGGGGGUUGGUGGAAAGGGUUUUUCUGGUGGGGGAUGGGCUCGCGGCCUAUCAGCUUGUUGGUGGGGUGAUGGCCUACCAAGGCUUUGACGGGUAGCCGGCCUGAGAGGGUGACCGGUCACAUUGGGACUGAGAUACGGCCCAGACUACGACGGGAGGCAGCAGUGGGGAAUAUUGCACAAUGGGCGCAAGCCUGAUGCAGCGACGCCGCGUGAGGGAUGGGGGCCUUCGGGUUGUGAACCUCUUUCGCUCAUGGUCAAGCCGCAACAAUGGUUGUGGUGAGGGUAGUGGGUAAAGAAGCGCCGGCUAACUACGUG